rnacentral:rRNA from 1 species
AUACGUAGGGUGCAAGCGUUGUCCGGAAUUAUUGGGCGUAAAGAGCUCGUAGGCGGUUUGUCGCGUCGGCUGUGAAAGCCCGGAGCUCAACUCCGGGUCUGCAGUCGAUACGGGCAGACUUGAGUGUUGCAGGGGAGACUGGAAUUCCUGGUGUAGCGGUGAAAUGCGCAGAUAUCAGGAGGAACACCGGUGGCGAAGGCGGGUCUCUGGGCAACAACUGACGCUGAGGAGCGAAAGCGUGGGGAGCGAACAGGAUUAGAUACCCUGGUAGUCCACGCCGUAAACGUUGGGCGCUAGGUGUGGGGGCCAUUCCACGGUCUCCGUGCCGCAGCUAACGCAUUAAGCGCCCCGCCUGGGGAGUACGGCCGCAAGGCUAAA